rnacentral:lncRNA from 1 species
GAUUUAUGAAAUGAGACUUCAAGCCUUAUUUCCUUUUGUUACCGAAUAAAAGUUUUCAAAUGCUUAUUAAGAUAACCUGAGAAUCAAGAAGGAAAACAAUGAAUCACUCACAAAUAAGAAAUGAAUCUUCAAGAGAAUCCUAAAAAAGAAGCAUUUAUCAUUCAUGCUUCUUCAUUUAUCUCCCCAGGCUGAGUUCCAGUCCCAUCUGUGUGACUGAUGCUGCUUCUGAACAAACUCCUUCCCCACCUUUCCUUUCAUGCUGCCAGCCUGGAGAAGAUGAGGAGCUGGAGCUCCUUAGAGAGAACUGAGCCUAAUCUUGGACCUGGAGUCUGAUGUGAUACACCUGCUUAGCCCAGAUGGCUACAGGCAGCAGAGUAACAGCUACCAAGACAGAUGCUUCACUCACGUUGUGAACUGAAGAUUGAUCUGGCUAAGCACAAAUAAGUCCCUCUUGCUGAGCUAACACAGAAGGUGAUCGUUCAAGGGCUGCUGGUAAUUCAGACCUGACACAUAACAAUGUGGACCAACAGAUACCCUUCUUUGUGGCUGCAUUGUGUGCUCUUUAUGUUUAGAAGUCUCAUCAGUAAGCAACGUACCCUUUGCCUGUCCUCAUACCCAUGUGCACUCUUUCCAACUUUGCUUCUAGUGGCUACACUGCAAACUGGACAUGAGGAUUGAUUUUGCUAUAAAAAAAACUCUUCUUUAUUGACUGGCUUAUUUUUGAGCUGGAUAAGCUCCCUGACUCAUUUCACAGUGCAGCCACACAAGCAGCUAUUCCAGCUCUGCAGAAGAGCAAUGACACACAGCACAAGGUGGGAAUGAGCUGUAGGCCAUGCAUAUCUUAAAAUACCUGAAUGCUUCAUCUUAUGAAACCUCAGCUCAAGUCUUUCCUAUUAAAGUUCCUCUUCUGGGCAUAAACUGCUUAUACAGUCACAAACAGCAUAAAAGAACAUUAAAAUGACACUCUUGUCUACCAUUUUUGACACUCCCUGGAUUAUGAUGGAUUUACAGACUUGAUUUACAGCUAUGGGAACUGUUAGCUGAAAAGAUGCAGAGUACUUCUCAGUACAUCACAUCUACACAUGGGAAAAAAAUUCAUUCCAGCCCUCACAAGCAGCAGAAGAAAACAAAUCUAUAAUGCUCUGAGUCCUGAAAGAGUGUAGAAAAGACAACCUUUUAUUUUCCUUGCAUUUUUGGGAAUAAAGAACUUUGUUUUCCUAG